UCUCUUCUCUAAUGUUGGUUCUUUAUUCUAUGGUGCAGUCUUUCUUCUAUGGUGCAGUCGUGCUGUCUUUAUUGCUGUUGUGAAACGUUGUUGGCCAUGUCGGUAUUGUUGCUGGAGCCGUUCUAUGGUGGCUCGCACCGCCAGCUGAUGGAUCUGUUAAGCGUGGAGUUGGGACCGGAGGAAUGCCGUUUGGUCACGCUGCCAGCCAACAAGUGGCACUGGCGCGCACGCACGGCAGCCCUGUGGCUAGCCGAACGCAUCGAACCGUCAAGUGGCUACCGCGUGCUUAUGGCCAGCGGCACGCUCAACCUGGCCGAGCUGCUGGGUUUGCGGCCAGACCUCUUGCCGCUGCGCAAAUUGCUCUACAUGCACGAGAACCAGCUCGCCUAUCCGUUGCAGAAAGAGAACCAGCGUGAUUACCAGUACGGCUACAACCAGGUGGUGUCGUGCUUAGUAGCUGAUGUGGUGUUGUUCAACUCGCACUUCAACCGGGACUCGUUCCUGUCAGCCGUGGAGCCGUUCCUGAACCGCGUGCCAGGUGCAGGCCGCCUGGGGCCCCUGCGGUGCCGCUUGGAGGCCAAGGCACGUGUGCUGCCCUUUCCGGUGGACGUGCCACCAUGGGCCCCAUCGCCAUGCAGAGACCCUGCAGCGCCCUUGCAUAUAGUCUGGCCUCACCGGUGGGAGCAUGACAAGGGUCCCGAAGAGUUUGUGCAAGCACUACUUGAACUGCACCGACUGGACAUGUGCUUCCAUGUGUCCUUCCUGGGACAGAAGUUUGACGAGCUGCCUUGCUGUUCUCCAUUACCGUGUCCUGCAGCAUCCUUGGUUGGAGUCCGGGAGCAGCUGGGAGACCGCAUCCGGCAGUGGGGCCCCCUGCCGGACCGAGAUCAAUACCUGGCCCUGCUGCGCGAGGCUGAUGUGGUGGUCUCGACGGCUCACCACGAGUUCUAUGGCGUUGCCAUGUUGGAAGCAAGCCUGCUCGGCUGCUACCCACUGUGCCCAAAUCGGCUGGUCUACCCAGAGAUCUAUCCUCCGUGCUGUCGCUACAACACUUGGCGGCAGCUGGUCAAGCGGCUACGCAGCUUCUGCCUACGACCGGAGGCUGCCCGAAGGAUGGCCCCCAAGGGGGGUGUCGACGGCUCGUCUGAGACAGCACGGUCACCGUAGGGAGAGCGGUUGGAUGGAGCCACGCCGCUGGGUUUUCCCUGCCACCGCGAGGGAAAGCCAACUUCUGGGGGCACUUUUCCGCUGCUCGAUGUUCGAUAUAUCGGGAGUCGUUGCUAUUUUUGUUCGAUCUGGAUCGCAGCCGUUUUAGUUGGGAGUCACUGCGGCCAUGCUAUCGGGAACUGCUGCUGCUACCACCUGAUGGGUCCAGCUGCUGACCAUGCUGACCUUUGGCCAUGUCAUGUGACCUGUGUUGAUGAUUUGGGAAGAAUGGUGCCACCGUGGUGACCUCGUCGUACAAAGAAACACAAUUGUAAAGCCCAAUAAACACACUGUGAAAGA